rnacentral:rRNA from 1 species
AUUGAACGCUGGCGGCAGGCUUAACACUUGCAAGUCGAACGGCAGCACAGGCUUCGGCCGGGUGGCGAGUGGCGGACGGGUGAGUAACACGUAGGAAUCUGCCUGGUAAUGGGGGAUAACCCGGGGAAACUCGGGCUAAUAACGCAUACGCUCCACGGAGGAAAGCGGGGGAUCUUCGGACCUCGCGUUAUCAGAUGAGCCUGCGUCCGAUUAGCUAGUUGGCGGGGUAAAGGCCCACCAAGGCGGCGAUCGGUAGCUGGUCUGAGAGGACGAUCAGCCACACUGGAACUGAGACACGGUCCAGACUCCUACGGGAGGCAGCAGUGGGGAAUAUUGGACAAUGGGCGCAAGCCUGAUCCAGCCAUGCCGCGUGUGUGAAGAAGGCCUGCGGGUUGUAAAGCACUUUAAGCAGGAAAGAAGGCUUCGGGGCUAAUAUCCUCGGAGAUUGACGUUACCUGCAGAAUAAGCACCGGCUAACUCCGUGCCAGCCGCCGCCGUAACAC